GACGAACGCUGGCGGCGUGCUUAACACAUGCAAGUCGAACGGAAAGGCCCUGCUUUUGUGGGGUGCUCGAGUGGCGAACGGGUGAGUAACACGUGAGUAACCUGCCCUUGACUUUGGGAUAACUUCAGGAAACUGGGGCUAAUACCGGAUAGGAGCUCCUGCUGCAUGGUGGGGGUUGGAAAGUUUCGGCGGUUGGGGAUGGACUCGCGGCUUAUCAGCUUGUUGGUGGGGUAGUGGCUUACCAAGGCUUUGACGGGUAGCCGGCCUGAGAGGGUGACCGGCGACAUUGGGACUAAGAUACGGCGCAGACUCGUACGGGAGGCAGCAGUGGGGAAUAUUGCACAAUGGGCGGAAGCCUGAUGAAGCAACGCCGCGUGCGGGAUGACGGCCUUCGGGUUGUAAACCGCUUUCGCCUGUGACGAAGCGUGAGUGACGGUAAUGGGUAAAGAAGCACCGGCUAACUACGUG
rnacentral:rRNA from 1 species